ensembl:misc_RNA Metazoa_SRP Metazoan signal recognition particle RNA
GCCAGGCAGGGUGGCGCGUGCCUGUAGUCCCAGCUAUUCGGGAGGUGGAGGUUGCAGGAUCUCUUGAGCUCAGGAGUUCUGGGCUGUAGUGUACUGUGCACUACAGCCCACUAAGUGUAUCCACACUAAGUCUGGCAUCAAUAUGGUGACCUCCCAGGAGCAGGGGACCACCAGGUUGCCUAAGGUGGGGUGAACCGGCCCAGGUCAGAAAUGGAGCAGGUCAAAACUCCCGUGCUGAUCAGUAGUGGGAUCGCACCUGUGAAUAGCCAAUGCAGUCCGGCCUGGGCAACAUAGCGAGACCCCAUCUCUU